AUGCUACUCCCUCCGUCCCAAAAUUCUUGUCUUAGAUUUGUCGAGAUACGGAUGUAUUAGAUACAUUCGUAUCUCGACAAAUCUAAGACAAGAAAUUUGAGACAGAGGGAGUAUUUU
rfam:Triticum urartu cultivar G1812 contig1038209, whole genome shotgun sequence.